CAAACUGGAGAGUUUGAUCCUGGCUCAGAGCGAACGCUAGCGGCGGGCUUAACACAUGCAAGUCGAGGGACCCUUCGGGGGACCGGCGAACGGGUGAGUAACACGUAGGUCACGUACCCUUUGGUGGGGGAUAGCCCGGGGAAACCCGGAUUAAUACCGCAUAUGGCGAGAGCUAAAAGUAGCAAUACGCCAGAGGAUCGGCCUGCGGCCCAUUAUUUAAUCCUAGUUGGUGAGGUAACGGCUCACCAAGGGUACGAUGGGUAGCUGGUCUGAGAGGACGAUCAGCCACACUGGGACUGAGACACGGCCCAGACUCCUACGGGAGGCAGCAGUGG
rnacentral:rRNA from 1 species